rnacentral:tRNA from 1 species
GCGAGGAUGGCGGAAUUGGUAGACGCACUGGAUUUAGGUUCCAGCGGUUAACACCGUGCGGGUUCGAGUCCCGCUUCUCGCA